rnacentral:rRNA from 1 species
UACCAGCACCCCGAGUGGUUGGGACGAUUAUUGGGCCUAAAGCAUCCGUAGCCGGUUCUACAAGUCUUCCGUUAAAUCCACCUGCUCAACAGUUGGGCUGCGGAGGAUACUAUAGAGCUAGGAGGCGGGAGAGGCAAGCGGUACUUAGUGGGUAGGGGUAAAAUCCGUUGAUCCAUUGAAGACCACCAGUGGCGAAGGCGGCUUGCCAGAACGCACUCGACGGUGAGAGAUGAAAGCUGGGGGAGCAAACCGG